UACGGAGGGUGCAAACGUUGCUCGGAAUCAUUGGGCGUAAAGCGAACGUAGGCGGCUAUGUAAGUCGGGUGUGAAAGCCCUCGGCUCAACCGAGGAAGUGCAUUCGAAACUGCAUGGCUUGAGUAUCGGAGAGGAUAGCGGAAUUCCCGGUGUAGAGGUGAAAUUCGUAGAUAUCAGGAAGAACACCCGUGGCGAAGGCGGCUCUCUGGAACGCAACUGACGCUGAGACGCGAAAGCGUGGGGAGCAAACAGG
rnacentral:rRNA from 1 species